ACGCGUGCCAGUUGCAGAGCUGCGAGCUGUUGGCUGGGGCCUUGGCGCCCUGGCUGAUAAUCCCACGCUGUGUAACCCUGGGCUGAGUGUGCUACACCAAGAAGGGGAGAAGACAGAAUAUUCUAACAGGCUGUGGGCCCCCGCCGCCAUCUGGAUCUCGGUUUCCUCACCUCUGAGGGGUCUUUUCCAGUUCCAAUAUGCAAAUGGUUCAUCACUCGCUGUAGAAUAGAAUCAGAGCUGUGAUAUGCUGUCCACGUGGCCCACAGACUCAGGGAGGGUCUGAAACUCUGCCAGGGCCUACUGUGCUCCUUUCAGAGGAGCACCACCCCACCCAAGGCACCCCAGGGUGUCUCAGGAGGGCGGCCCAGGACCACUCCGAAUGCACUGAAAGCUGACUGUGUUCAGUAGGGGAGAGGGGCCCCUUCUCUAAAUAUUUUCUCUCCAGGUUUGGCUGGAGACAGUCACAGCCGGUCAGGGGGCUCAAAGAGGCGCCAGGCCUGCCAAGAACCACCUGAGGAUGGCGUUUGUGAGGAAAACCCAGGGAGCAGGGCUGGCCCACUCCCAGGCAGCAAAACUGCUCCUCCAGCUCGGCUGUUCCAGUGAGCAAAGGAAUCUGUUUGUCUGAGAAAAAGAAUGUGGCAGAGAGGCGGGAGGCAGCCCCAGGCAGCCCCGGCAGCCUCCUCAGCUUCGGAGCUCACCAAAACCAGCCAGCCACCUCGGGGAGUCACCCAAGAGCCUAGAUGCAGGCUACAGACGGGUUGGUUACUGGUUCUGCUCUAAGGACUGGCCUGCUGGACUCGCUGCGCUUCUCUGCCAGCUGUUCCCUCUUCCGCCUUCUGUUUGCUUUGAUCUGAGGUUGACAGACCACCUGGCCUGCUAAACUGGGAAGGUAGUGAUGCAUUUUAGGCAAUGUCUUCUGCUUAUGCUCAGCAAUGCAUGAGUCUCAGAGCGGUGGCCAGAGAAAUGGCGAAUCGUCGUAUAUUGAGCGAGUGAUAAUGGAAUCCAGGAGGUGGAAAUUACAAGUUGAAAAGUAAAAUCAAUGCCCUGACUGUGAAAUGACUGAAUGCCUGGUGAGGAACUGUGUCGAGGUGCACCCCCACUCCCCUUACUCCACACCGACCUUUAAGACGCUCACCAGUUCAGAAGUUCCUUGAGGGCAGGAAGCAUAUUUUAAUCACGGGUAAUCAUAGCAUAUCAGGGCAGAAAUGGGCCUUAGAGAGCUUCCAGCCCUGGAGUGGCAAAUCGGUUUCAUUUUGGUGCCAGCUACAAUCAUUUAGUGGUGGCUGCCUGAAGCGCUGGGCCGAGAAGUGUUCUGCGGGUCUCUGGGCUCCUUGAGGAGUCGGCCAUGAUCAAUUAGCGAUGUUUACCAUGGCCAGGGGAGUGGCAAGGAGGCAGCACUUUGCUCAGAUUACCCAACCCCUAUCUAGUCCAACCUGUCCCGCUGACAGAUGAGGAAAGAACUGCUAAGCAGCUCUGUGUCCCCACCCACACCCCAGCACAUUCUUGUCCCCUAGCAGCCAUCCACUUCCAGGGGUCUGUGCAUAGUAUUCAAGGGUCUAUGAACUUGAGUGGGAGAGACAUUUACAUCUUUGUUUCACUAAACUCUGAGAUCAAGCACUUCCUUCCAUGAUGAAUGUAGGCAACAAACUGUGGUAGCAACAGCAGCACCUGUGACUGUCACCAAUAGAAACCACAGCUAUCUUCCUAGCACAUCAGAGCUGCUGCUGCUGUCUCUAAAGAUCACUUACACCCCUCGCUAGUCACUGUGGUCUUUGUAUGAAAGGAUCGUAGUUAUUAGACCCAACACUAAAUCUUGUUACUUAAUGCAUUAAUAAAGAAACACACAUAUUACUGAUCCCGAAGUUGCUUCUUAAUAUUUGCAUAACUGCAUUUCAAUAGAGAAUUGGUUUCCUCUGUCAUACUAUUUUAUGCAAUUAAAUUCAUCAUCCUGAGAAG
rnacentral:lncRNA from 1 species